AUUGAACGCUGGCGGCAUGCCUUACACAUGCAAGUCGAACGGCAGCAUGAUCUAGCUUGCUAGAUUGAUGGCGAGUGGCGAACGGGUGAGUAAUACAUCGGAACGUGCCCUGUAGUGGGGGAUAACUAGUCGAAAGAUUAGCUAAUACCGCAUACGACCUGAGGGUGAAAGUGGGGGACCGCAAGGCCUCAUGCUAUAGGAGCGGCCGAUGUCUGAUUAGCUAGUUGGUGAGGUAAAGGCUCACCAAGGCGACGAUCAGUAGCUGGUCUGAGAGGACGAUCAGCCACACUGGGACUGAGACACGGCCCAGACUCCUACGGGAGGCAGCAGUGGGGAAUUUUGGACAAUGGGGGCAACCCUGAUCCAGCAAUGCCGCGUGUGUGAAGAAGGCCUUCGGGUUGUAAAGCACUUUUGUCCGGAAAGAAAUCGCACUUACUAAUAUUAGGUGUGGAUGACGUACCGAAGAU
rnacentral:rRNA from 1 species